rnacentral:lncRNA from 1 species
AUCGAGUUGUUCAAGUUCCCAGUCAAAGAGCGCAACCAAUGCGAGCAUGACCCUAAUAGUAGUGUACUUGACAACUGGUGAGAAAAUCUCGUUAUAAUCAACACCUUCUUUCUGUGUGUAACCCUUUGCUACUAACCUAGCAUUAAACCUUAAGGGUUCUGAACUACUAGUCUGCACUCAGGAUGUGAAUCUCAUUGAUAGUCUAUAUGAUAUAUUUGAUUUGUGUGUCAAUCGGCUUUAUUUAUUUUAGGUGAUUUGUUUGUCUUGUGCCGUUACAGUUAGUCUGAUGCAGCGUAAUAUUGGGGUUCUAGGUUGGUGUUGUAAUGGAAAUAUUUGAGUGAUGAUCUUUCGAGUUAAAN